UACGGAGGGUGCAAGCGUUAUCCGGAUUCACUGGGUUUAAAGGGUGCGUAGGCGUCCUUGUAAGUUUUCGGUGAAAUCCUCAAGCUUAACUUGAGAACUGCCGAGAAUACUACUAGGAUUGAGUACAGUUGAGGUGGGCGGAAUGUGUCAUGUAGCGGUGAAAUGCUUAGAUAUGACCCAGAACACCAAUUGCGAAGGCAACUCGCUAAACUGUAACUGACGCUGAGGCACGAAAGCGUGGGUAGCAAACAGG
rnacentral:rRNA from 1 species